ACAAGCGGUGGAGUAUGUGGUUUAAUUCGAAGCAACGCGAAGAACCUUACCAGGGCUUGACAUCCCCUGACCGCGUAUGAAAGUACGUUUUCACCCUCGGGUGACAGGGAGACAGGUGGUGCAUGGUUGUCGUCAGCUCGUGUCGUGAGAUGUUGGGUUAAGUCCCGCAACGAGCGCAACCCCUACAUUUAGUUGCUAACGCGUGAAGGCGAGCACUCUAGACGAACUGCCGUUGACAAAACGGAGGAAGGUGGGAUGACGUCAAAUCAUCAUGCCCCUUAUGUUCUGGGCUACACACGUGCUACAAUGGCCGGUACAGACGGACGCAAAGCCGCGAGGUGGAGCAAAUCCUAAAAAGCCGGUCUCAGUUCGGAUUGCAGGCUGCAAUUCGCCUGCAUGAAGUCGGAAUCGCUAGUAAUCGCAGGUCAGCAUACUGCGGUGAAUACGUUCCCGGGCCUU
rnacentral:rRNA from 1 species